GCUUUACUGUAGCCUGGAAUUGGGUUCGGGCUUUAACUGCGCAGGAUAGGUGGGAGGCUUUGAAGUGUUCCUUGUGGGGAACAUGGAGCCAACGGUGAGAUACCACUCUGUUAAGGCUAGAAUUCUAACUUGUCGCCGUUAUCCGGCACGAGAACAGUUUCAGGUGGGCAGUUUGACUGGGGCGGUCGCCUCCUAAAUGGUAACGGAGGCGCGCAAAGGUUCUCUCAGGCUGGUUGGAAAUCAGCCGUAGAGUGUAAAAGCACAAGAGAGCUUGACUGUGAGACGAACAUGUCGAGCAGGGACGAAAGUCGGCUUUAGUGAUCCGACGGCAGAGCGUGGAAUCGCCGUCGCUAAACGGAUAAAAGUUA
rnacentral:rRNA from 1 species